rnacentral:tRNA from 1 species
AGGGGUAUUGCCAAAUGGUAAGGCAUAUGAUUUUGGCUCAUAUAUGUGUUGGUUCAAAUCCAACUACCCCCG